ACUUAAAUAGUUUAAUAAGAAUUUUAGUUUGUGGAAUUAAGGGUGUAUAAAAUUACUUUAGGUA
rnacentral:tRNA from 1 species